rnacentral:sRNA from 1 species
GUUUGUUAUAAUUUAAUUAGCGUAGAAAAUUUAAAGGACGGUAGCUGUCGCUUUCAUGAAGGAAGUGAGGCCUAUGAACUAUCUUGAUUCAUACUCCAAUCUCCCAAAAGAAAGGAGCAGCACUUGAUGAGCACUGCCGAAGCGUUAAGUUUAAUGCUUAACUUUGGUAUGUUUAUCUUGACCUUGUUA